GAUGAACGCUGGCGGCGUGCCUAAUACAUGCAAGUCGAGCGAACGGACGAGAAGAUUGCUUCUCUGCUGUUAGCGGCGGACGGGCGAGUAACACGUGGAUAACCUACCUAUAAGACUGGGAUAACUUCGGGAAACCGGAGCUAAUACCAGAUAAUAUUUUGAACCGCAUGGUUCAAAAGUGAAAGACGGUCUUGCUGUCACUUAUAGAUGGAUCCGCGCUGCAUUAGCUAGUUGGUAAGGUAACGGCUUACCAAGGCAACGAUGCAUAGCCGACCUGAGAGGAUGAUCGGCCACACUGGAACUGAGACACGGUCCAGACUCCUACGGGAGGCAGCAGUAGGGAAUCUUCCGCAAAGGGCGAAAGCCUGACGGAGCAACGCCGCGUGAGUGAUGAAGGUCUUCGGAUCGUAAAGCUCUUUUAUUAGGGAAGAACAUAUGUGUAAUUAACUGUGCACAUCUUGACGGUACCUAAUCAGAAAGCCACGGCUAACUACGUG
rnacentral:rRNA from 1 species